UACGGAGGAUCCAAGCGUUAUCCGGAUUUACUGGGUUUAAAGGGUGUGUAGGCGGACUUUUAAGUCAGCGGUGAAAUCUCCGGGCUCAACCCGGAAACUGCCAUUGAUACUAUUAGUCUUGAAUCUUGUUGAGGUGGGCGGAACGGGUCAUGUAGCGGUGAAAUGCAUAGAUAUGACCCGGAACACCGAUUGCGAAGGCAGCCCACUAAGCAAGUAUUGACGCUGAGGCACGAAAGCGUGGGGAUCAAACAGG
rnacentral:rRNA from 1 species